ensembl:lncRNA
UCCCUCAUUUUGCAGGUGAGGCACCUGAGUCUCAGAGAGGGGAAGUGACUUGCUCAAGGUCACACAACCAGGAGGUAGAAGAAGCAGGACUCCAGCCCCAGGACUUGUGACUGUGAAGUGAAGAGUUCUUGAUACUGAAGCAUACCACCUCGAGCUCUAGGAGCCAAGCCCAGGCCCUCCUUGUUCUCUGAGUGGUCUCUCUUCGGCCUUCGAGGGGCCUACCUGCAGCCCAGGGCUCUGGCCUGCCAUCUUUCUCUCUUUCCACUGGAGAAGGCACUGAAGUGUUUGGGACCAAAUGAGAAAACUGAGGCAUCCCUGAAUCUUGUGAUUGUGAGGUACCACAAUCAUUCUCGAGAUAGAUGCAUGAGCUGCUCCUCUGGGCUUAUGGAAAAAAAAAAAAAAAGCAGAACUGAUUGGUGUGUAGCCCUUCCUGGAGGCAGGGAGAUGGACAAAAUGGCCUCUCAAGUGAAGGUCGGCCCAACUCCAAGUCAGCCCCCAUUUGUUUGGCUCCUCCUGCUUGUUGGAGGGGAACGGGAAGGGAUCUGUGUCCUCCAGGAGGUCUGUCAGCUGGCAUCGGGACAACAUCUGGUUCCUUCCUCAGGAGGGUCUCCACACAAGACCAACAGAAAUAUCACCGUCAGAGGGAGCUGUCAGGCACACCAUGUUUGAGAUGUGAAAGCACCUGGGUGAUGAAUUGGGGCUGGGAGGUGGGGAAAUCGAAGCAAGACAAAUGGGAUGGAGUUUCAUAAGCCAAUUCUUCCCAUGUAGGUAUUAACUUAGAAGAAUCAGUACCAGCCAUACCCUGAUGCCAGCUAUUGUCGAAUAAACGUAUUGGUUCUACAGUUCCGAAAACCA